GCCGCUGUAACUUAGUGGUCUGAGUGCCGGUCUGAAAAGCCGGAAGUUUCCGUUCGAUUCGGAGAGGUGGCA
rnacentral:tRNA from 1 species